GCUCUGUGCCUCAACAACCUGCCCUGGGCCUGUCUCUCAGUCUCUGAAGCACCACAGAGGGGGCCUGAGAUUUACACCAUUCGCUCCAGAAGCUAACUACGCAGGAAUCACAGUGGGCUAGAUUAUACCCGGAGACUAGAGAGAGAGAGAGAUACCUCGGCAGCGACGAAGCAGCAGUUCUGGACAAAAACGGUUAGGGGUACAGGACACAGAAGAGCUAGAAAACAAGGCUCCAGUCAGAGGCCUGCUGUAAGAUACAGUAGGGACCCCUGAUGUACUGAAACCCCCUGAUGUACUGAAAUCCCCUGAUGUACUGUAAGCUACAGUAGGAAACCCCCUGAUGUACUGAAACCCCCUGAUGUACUAUAAGCUACAGUAGGAAACCCCCUGAUGUACUGAAACCCCCUGAUGUACUGUAAGCUACAGUAGG
ensembl:lncRNA